rnacentral:rRNA from 1 species
AACGAACGCUGGCGGUAUGCCUAAUACAUGCAAGUCGUACGAGAAAGUCAGCAAUGAUGAGUAAAGUGGCGCACGGGUGAGUAACGCGUAGGUGACCUGCCUUUUAGAUCGGAAUAACAAAGAGAAGUCUUUGCUAAAACCGGAUGAGUUGAGCGAAUUUGGAAUUAGCUCAAGAAAUGUGGCCUCUUAACAAUGCUACAGCUAACAGAAGGGCCUGCGUGCCAUUAGCUAGUUGGUGGGGUAAUGGCCUACCAAGGCGAUGAUGGCUAACUGGUCUGAGAGGAUGAUCAGUCACACUGGAACUGAGACACGGUCCAGACUCCUAUGGGAGGCAGCAGUAGGGAAUAUUGCGCAAUGGGGGAAACCCUGACGCAGCAAUACCGCGUGAGUGAGGAAGGCCUUCGGGUUGUAAAGCUCUGUCCUUAGGGAAAAAUGGAUUAUUAUCGAAUAGAUAGUAGUUUUGAUGGUACCUGAGAAGAAAGCACCGGCUAACUUCGUGCCAGCAGCCGCGGUAA